CUCUCUGGGGAGGAAAACAUAAUAAACACGAAUGUCUCAUCACCCUUUUGUGCUUCGUAUAUUAAUCACCCAACAAGGGCUCCUGGCCUUUCCCUGUUCCCGUUCGCGUUUGCCCUGUAACUCCGGGGAGGAGUUCAGCUUUCUCUAUAAAAAGCUGCACUUUGGAGAACAUCGUAACAGACCAAAUUUAGGAUCCGCUCGCCCGUCGUCUGCUGGGAGAGAAGGCAGAAAGCAACCAUGUUUGGGAUUGGGAAGAAACUCGCCGAGGAAGCGACUCAGCAAGCUGAGCAUAAAGCGCAGGCGGCAGUUAACACAGCGGGCCAGACUGUGCAGCAAGUAGUGGACCAGGUUAAGGAUGCUGGUCAGAAAGCUAUUGAUGAAGCCUGCAAAGUGGCUGAGACUGGUGAAAAAGCUGUGAAAAAUGUAGCGAAUCAAGCAACCGCCUGGGGAAAAAGCUUUGGACAGUGAAGAUAAUGUAAUACCACUGAAAUUUUUGUUUCUAUGACGACAUAUACUCUUAAA
ensembl:lncRNA